UACGUAGGAGGCAAGCGUUGUCCGGAGUUACUGGGCGUAAAGCGCACGCAGGCGGUCGCAUCAGUCUGGGGGUGACAGUUCCCGGCUUAACCGGAAAAGGACUCUGGAAACUGUGCGACUUGAGGGCUUCAGAGGGAUGUGGAAUUCCAGGUGGAGUGGUGAAAUGCGUAGAUAUCGGAAGGAACACCAGUGGCGAAAGCGGCUUCCUGGUCCAGCACCGACGUUCAGGCACGAAAGCGUGGGGAGCAAACAGG
rnacentral:rRNA from 1 species